CGCUGGCGGCGCGCCUAACACAUGCAAGUCGAACGGGAGACAUGGCUUCGGCCAUGGAUCCAGUGGCGGACGGGUGAGUAUCGCGUGGGAACCUGGCCCAAGGUGCGGAACAACCGGGGGAAACCCCGGCUAAUACCGCAUGUGCCCUACGGGGGAAAGAUUUAUCGCCUUGGGAUGGGCCCGCGUCCGAUUAGCUUGUUGGUGGGGUAACGGCCCACCAAGGCUCCGAUCGGUAGCUGGUCUGAGAGGACGAUCAGCCACACUGGGACUGAGACACGGCCCAGACUCCUACGGGAGGCAGCAGUGGGGAAUCUUGGACAAUGGGCGAAAGCCUGAUCCAGCGACGCCGCGUGGGUGACGAAGGCCUUAGGGUUGUAAAGCCCUUUCACCGGGGACGAUGAUGACGGUACCCGGAGAAGAAGCACCGGCCAACUCCGUGCCAGCAGCCGCGGUAAG
rnacentral:rRNA from 1 species